rnacentral:tRNA from 1 species
UGGGGUGCAGCUCAUUGGUAGAGCACUUGCCUACUGUGUAUGAGGCCCUGGGUUCCAUCCCAGCACCGCAA